AUUGAACGCUGGCGGCAUGCUUUACACAUGCAAGUCGAACGGCAGCGCGGGCUUCGGCCUGGCGGCGAGUGGCGAACGGGUGAGUAAUGCAUCGGAACGUGCCCAGUAGUGGGGGAUAGCCCGGCGAAAGCCGGAUUAAUAUCGCAUACGACCUGAGGGUGAAAGCGGGGGACCGAAAGGCCUCGCGCUAUUGGAGCGGCCGAUGUCGGAUUAGCUAGUUGGUGGGGUAAAGGCUUACCAAGGCGACGAUCCGUAGCUGGUCUGAGAGGACGACCAGCCACACUGGGACUGAGACACGGCCCAGACUCCUACGGGAGGCAGCAGUGGGGAAUUUUGGACAAAGGGGGCAACCCUGAUCCAGCCAUGCCGCGUGCGGGAAGAAGGCCUUCGGGUUGUAAACCGCUUUUGUUCGGGAAGAAAUCCUCUGGGCUAAUACCCCGGGGGGAUGACGGUACCGGAAGAAUAAGCACCGGCUAACUACGUG
rnacentral:rRNA from 1 species